rnacentral:rRNA from 1 species
CCUACGGGAGGCAGCAGUGAGGAAUAUUGGUCAAUGGGCGCGAGCCUGAACCAGCCAAGUAGCGUGAAGGAUGACGGUUCUAUGGAUCGUAAACCUCUUUUAUAAGGGAAUAAAGUGUGGGACGUGUCCUGUUUUGUAUGUACCUUAUGAAUAAGGAUCGGCUAACUCCGUGCCAGUAGCCGCGGUAAUACGGAGGAUCCGAGCGUUAUCCGGAUUUAUUGGGUUUAAAGGGUGCGUAGGCGGCCUUUUAAGUCAGCGGUGAAAGUCUGUGGCUCAACCAUAGAAUUGCCGUUGAAACUGGGAGGCUUGAGUAUGUUUGAGGCAGGCGGAAUGCGUGGGGUAGCGGUGAAAUGCUUAGAUAUCACGCAGAACCCCGAUUGCGAAGGCAGCCUGCCAAGCCAUGACUGACGCUGAUGCACGAAAGCGUGGGGAUCAAACAGGAUUAGAUACCCUUGUAGUC